CCUACGGGUGGCAGCAGUGGGGAAUAUUGCACAAUGGGGGGAACCCUGAUGCAGCAACGCCGCGUGGGUGAAGGAGGAUUUCGGAAUGUAAAGCCCUAUCAGUAGGGAAGAACAAUGACGGUACCUGACUAAGAAGCACCGGCUAACUACGUGCCAGCAGCCGCGGUAAUACGUAGGUGGCAAGCGUUAUCCGGAGUUACUGGGUGUAAAGGGAGCGCAGGCGGCGCGUUAAGCCAGGUGUGAAAACCCCGGGCUGAACAUCGGGACUGCAUUUGAAACUGGCUCGCUGGAGUGCAGUAGGGGUAGGCGGAAUUCCUAGUGUAGCGGUGAAAUGCGUAGAUAUUAGGAGGAACACCAGUGGCGAAGGCGGCCUACUGGACGUUAACUGACGCUGAGGCUCGAAAGCGUGGGGAGCAAACAGGAUUAGAUACCCUAGUAGUC
rnacentral:rRNA from 1 species